CGUCUCUCUCGUGUAGUAAUGCGGCAGGGCUCUCUUCCUUUAUUCGUUGGCCUUUCUCAUCUAGUCCAUCAGUAACGAAGAGACAAACAACUUUUUUAUUUGCUUUACAUAUCGUCAUCCACGAAUUGCGAAUAGCAUCACGGCGAUCUCUUCGUAAAGGAGCAGAAAAUAUUGCAAUGAAAAAUGGUACAUCGUGACAAGCGAAUUAGCUACAGAUGAUUGCUUUGCAACGUCACAAGACUUUCAUAACAACAUGCGUGCUUAUAAUGGCAAGAAAAACAAACGUUAUUUUAACACAGAAUAGAAACGUAACAAAAGGCCCACUUAGCAAAAAUUGUGGUGCAUUUUUCUAUUGCACAUGCGCGACUUCCACAAGACUCCAUCAAGAUACUUUCACAAAAUGAAUAUGGAGUUGUGUUUCAAGAAAAAGUGGUUUUACUAAUAAUUCACUUUAAAAACGAACGUUUGCUGAAAUUUUCACCAGUUUUGGAUGGUUACUUCGCUUCAAAGUCUAUAUUCUAAACUAAAUAUUUUGAGAUGCUCUUUAGAUUCUGUACUUAAACAUUAGUAAUAAAUUAUUGACGUAACGUGCGCAAAAGAGCUGCAUUGAGUGAUUGAGACCAAUUUGUUGAAGAAUUAAAAAUUCAUUGCUUAA